rnacentral:rRNA from 1 species
AUUGAACGCUGGCGGCAUGCCUUACACAUGCAAGUCGAACGGUAACGCGGGGCAACCUGGCGACGAGUGGCGAACGGGUGAGUAAUGUAUCGGAACGUGCCCAGUUGUGGGGGAUAACUGCUCGAAAGAGCAGCUAAUACCGCAUACGACCUGAGGGUGAAAGCGGGGGAUCGCAAGACCUCGCGCAAUUGGAGCGGCCGAUAUAAGAUUAGGUAGUUGGUGGGGUAAAGGCUCACCAAGCCACCGAUCUGUAGCGGGUCUGAGAGGACGACCAGCCACACUGGGACUGAGACACGGCCCAGACUCCUACGGGAGGCAGCAGUGGGGAAUUUUGGACAAUGGACGCAAGUCUGAUCCAGCCAUGCCGCGUGCGGGAAGAAGGCCUUCGGGUUGUAAACCGCUUUUGUCAGGGAAGAAACGCUCUGGGUCAAUACCUCGGGGUAAUGACGGUACCUGAAGAAUAAGCACCGGCUAACUACGUGCCAGCAGCCGCCGUAACAC